CUGUAGUGUGAGCUGGGGUUCUCUCUCCCCCCCCUCUCUCUCUCUCUCACCUCCAUCUCUGCAGUGUGAGCUGAGUAUCUGAAGUUAGUUUAUCUCUUUUCCUGUGCGUGUAUCCAUAUGUUUACCUUCUGUGUUAUCAAUUUCUCAGAGCCCAAACCCAGGGAGCCACCAUGACGUGAUGUACAGCACUGUGAUGCCUGAUCAGUUCAGGACAGAAGAGAAGGUCAACUUAUGGCUGCAAGCAUCUCGGCUCUUAGACAACAUUAUUGCUGUUACUCAUAAAACGUCACUGCCUUGGCAAAUGUGCAUCUGUUUUAGAAAACAAUAUUAUUUCCAGUCUAAUUUUCUGUCUUGGAACAAGCAAUAGGUAAAUGUACACUAUAACAGUAUAACAACACAUUUUUGUUAUUUGGGUCUCUCUCUACCAACAGGAUCCAUUUCCUGAAGCUGAUGAUGAUGUCACAUACAGCACUGUCAGCCUCCAGCACAAGACCCAACUAAAAGGACAGACCAAGUCAGCAGAACCAGAUGAUAAUGUGGUCUACAGCUCACUAGCUCUGCAGGUGACCACACAGCAGAGGGCAGCAGCAGCACAGUAGCGACUGACUGAGAAGACCUUCCUUUUACUGGAAGGACAGAACACUCCCCUCUCCUGUGUCACAACAUCUAUCUGCCUCCAAUAUGAUUCUGUCAUACCUCUUAACCCAUCCCAGGAAGACACCUCUAUCCUUUAGUGUAAUAAACUACUUAAGACGGUCUGCUGUGUUUGUUCUGAUUAUCAUCACAUUUCUGUUAUUAGUUAUGUUCCACCACCUUCCCCUUGUCUCUUAUUUCUUACAUCAUGAUCUUAUUGAUCUAGUUUAAUGUCCUAUGCCUGUAACUAAUCAUGAUCAAACGUGUAUUAAGAUCUUAGUAUAGACAGCUACAAUUUAUAAUAUCUACUGUAAUAAUCAAAUGUACUAUAUACACGGUAUAUAUGUUAAACAAUGGACAUUGAGGGUUCAAUGCAAUUGUUACAUCUAUUUAUAGCAACUAUUUGUAGGAAUUACACAAACAUUUUCUUUUUGUAAAUCAUGUUAUAUUUAUUGGGAAUCACUUUACUUAUUUAUUUUUAGAUAUGGGGGUAAUUGUCUGCAUUAUUUCCAAUCCCCCAUAUAUUAUUUUGUAAAUAUAUACAGUG